CCUACGGGUGGCAGCAGUGGGGGAUAUUGCACAAUGGGGGGAACCCUGAUGCAGCGACGCCGCGUGGGGGAAGAAGCGCCUCGGCGCGUAAAGCCCUGUCAGCAGGGGAGAAAAUGACGGUACCUGAAGAAGAAGCCCCGGCUAACUACGUGCCAGCAGCGGCGGUAAUACGGAGGGGGCAAGCGUUAUCCGGAUUUACUGGGUGUAAAGGGGGCGCAGACGGCGAUGCAAGCAAGGAGUGAAAGCCCGGGGCUCAACCCCGGGACUGCUGGUGGAACUGAGUGGAUGGAGGGCAGGAGGGGCAGGCGGAAUUCGUGGUGUAGCGGUGAAAUGCGUAGAGAUCAGGAGGAACACCGGUGGCGAAGGCGGCCUGCUGGACUGCAACUGACGUUGAGGCCCGAAAGCGUGGGGAGCAAACAGGAUUAGAUACCCGAGUAGUC
rnacentral:rRNA from 1 species